UUAAGUUCAGCGGGUAGUCCUACUCGAUUUGAGGUCAAGUUGUCAGAGAUUGUCCGAAGACGGUUUGAAAGCACAGAGCUCCCAAUUGGCCACCCUCUUGCGAGGUGCCGGCGAAGACACUUAUCACGCCGUUCUAUGUCCAACCAAGAGGUGCACUAACACAUUUGAGGUGAGCCACAAGGAAAAGCAGCAAACACCCA
rnacentral:misc_RNA from 1 species